CGUGUGGAAUGCGUUUGAAUGGAGGAGGUAGCAAAUAAUAAACACUCCACCUACGUUCAAAUGGUGACCACAGAAAAUGCUCUGAGGUCAGGAUGCCCAGGAGUGCUGUGAAACAACAUCAGAGGGAGUCUGGAUCUUGAACAGAAAGCCAGGAAGGGGACCUGAACACUUGGGUGAAGCCCGUAUUUUCAACUGCUUGAGAGGGUCUCUUGUUCUUCCAGUAGUUUGUGCACUCUACUGCAGCAAGAAGUCUGUGUACAACUUUCAGUACUACCUCUGGAGAUCAGCUCCCCUCUGAUCCCUGUUAUCCUUUGACCACAGAUUAUACAUUUUAGAUAAAUCAUAUGGUAAGAUCUUAUCUUCUUACAAGCAGACCUCGCAAAGCUAUUCUGGACAUUGAAGCAUUGUUUAUAAUUGAGAAAAAUGUGGAAACGAAUGUACUAUGAAAGAUGAGAUGAACAAAAUGUUGCUGCAUUCACAGAAUGGAAAACAUUUAGUGGAAACAGGCUAACUGCAGCAAUCUAGAUACACACUAAAAAUACAAUAAAGGGAAACAAUGCAUAGCACAAUAGCUCUCAGGGAAAGUUUGAAAACAUGUGAAACUAUAUUGGAGAAGUGAGAUAAGGAGAAAAUAAGCUAUGAAGGAUUUUGGAAGAAGAGUUCCUGGGUCCCGAAACAUGCUCAGUCACCAGCCCAGAGCCACACGCCUGUGUGCUCUCACUGAACUGUUGUGGGCCUCACAACACCCGAGACUGGGAUUUCCAGUCGAGAGAAAACCCCACGGUGAAGGAAGCAAUAGGGACCAACCUCAGGUCACCCAGACAAUCCCUGGAAAAGGUCCCUGGGGGGUCCUAACACAAACCAUUCAAGAAAAUCCAAGACAACAUGAAAAGACAAAACCUAAAAAUAUUAAGGAUAGAGGAAAAAGAAGAUUCAUGUCUCCAAGGCCCAGAAAAUAGUUUCAACAAAUCAUAGAAGAAAAUUUCUCCAACUCAAAGGAGAGGCCUAUAAGCAUACAAGAGGCCUACAGAACACUUAAUAUAUUAGACCAGAAAAGAAAAUACUCUCACCACAUAAUAAUCAAAACAGUAAGUAUACAUAACAAAGAAAAAAUACUAAAAGCUACAAGGGAAAAAGGCCAAAUAAAUAUAAUGGCAAACCAAUCAGAAUCAUACCUGACUUCUCAACAGAGACUAUGAAAGCCAGAAGGGCCUGGACAGAUAUCAUACAGAUCCUAAAAGAACACAAAUAUCAGCCAGCCCAGGCUACUAUACCCAGAAAAACUCUCAGUCAUCAUAGAUGGAGAAAACAAGAUAUUCAACAACAAAAACAAAUUUCAACAAUACCUACCCACAAAUCCAGCAUUACAGAAGAUAUUAGAAGGAAAAAUACAACCCAGGAAAACUAACUGCAGUCAGGUUAACACAGGAAAUAAAUAACCUCACUACAGAAAAACCAAAAGUAGCCAAGCACACAAACACACUAGCACAACCAAUAUAAAAAUCAAAGGAUCUAGCAGCCACUGGUCAUUAAUCUCUCUCAACAUCAAAAAACUCAACUCUCCAAUAAAAAGACACAGACUAACAGAAUGGAUGAGUAAAUGAGACCCAGCAAUCUGUUGCAUACAAGAAAUACACUUAAGUCACAAAGAUAGACAUUACCUGAGAGCAAAGGGCUGGAAGACGGUUUUCCAAGCAAAAGGACUCAAGAAGCAAGGAGGAGCAGCCAUUCUAAUAUCUAAUAAAAUAGAUUUUCAGUCAAAAUUAAUAAAAAAGGAUGGGGAAGUUCACUUCAUACUCAUCAAGGGAAACUUGCACCAAGAAGACAUCACAAUUCUAAAUAUCUAUGCCCAAAUACAAGGACACCCACAUUUGUAAAAGAAACAUUAAUAAAACGUAAGCAAAACAUAGAUCCCCACAUAUUAAUAGUGGGAGACCUCAACACCCCACUCUCAACAAAGGACAGGUCAACAAAACAGAAAUUAAACGAAGAAACAACAACUCUAACAGAGGUCAUGAAUCAAAUGGACCUAACAGAUAUCUACAGAAACUUUAACCCAAACACCUUCUUCUCAGCACCACAUGGAACCUUCUCCAAAACAGACCAUAUAGUUGGUCACAAAGCAAGCCUCAACAGAUACAAGAAGAUUGAAAUAAUCCCUUGUAACUUAUCUGAACACCAUGGACUAAAGUUGGACCUCAACAACAACAGAAACAGCAAAAAGCCUACACACACAUGGAAACUGAAUGACAGCUGGGUCAGGGAAGAAAUAAAAAAAAUCAAAGAUUUCCUAGAAUUCAAUGAAAAUGAAGGCACAACAUAUCCAGACUUAUGGGACACAAUGAAAGCAGUGUUAAGAGAAAAGUUCAUAGCACUAUGUGCCUUCAAGAAGAAGUUUGAAAUAUAUCAUACAAGUAACUUAACAGCUCACCUGAAAGCCCUAGAUAAAAAAAAAAGAAGCAGACACACCCAAGAGAACUAGAUGGCUGGAAAUAAUCAAUCUAAGGGCUGAAAUCAAUAAACUAGAAAUAAAUAAAAUAAUUCAAAGAAUCAAUGAAACUAAGAGUUGGUUCUUUGAGAAAAUGAACAAGAUAGACAAACCCUUAGCAAAACCAACUAAAAGGCAGAUCAACAAAAUCAGAAAUGAAAAGGGGGACAGACACUGAGGAAAUCCAAACAAUCAUUAGGUCUUACUUCAAAAGUCUAUAUGCCACAAAAUUUGAAAAUCUAAAUGAAAUGGACAAUUUUCUUGAUUGAUUCCACUUACCAAUGCUGAAUCAAGACCAGGUAAAUCAAUUAAAUAGUCCUAUAUCUCCAAAGGAAAUAGAAGCAGUCAUCGAAAGUCUCCCAUCCAAAAAAAGCCCAGGACCAGAUGGUUUCAGAGCAGAAUUCUAUCAGACCUUCAAAGAAAAGCUAAUACCAAUACUCUUCAAACUAUUCCACAAAGUAGAAUCAGAAGGAACAUUACCAAACUCAUUCUAUGAAGCCAUAGUCACUUUGGUACCUAAACCUCACAAAGACCCAAAAAAGAAAGAGAAUUUCAGGCCAAUCUCUCUUAUGAGCAUUGCUGCAAAAAUACUUACAAACUGAAUCCAAGAACACAUCAAAGAGAUCAUCUGUUAUGACCAAGUAGGCUUCAUCCCAGGUAUGUAAGAGUGGUUCAAUAUAUGGAAAUCCAUCAAUGUAAUCCACCAUAUAAACAAAUUGAAAGAAAAAAACCCCACACGAUAAUUUCCUUAGAUGCUGAAAAAGCAUUUGAAAAAAACCCAACACCCUUUCAUGUUUAAAGUCCUGGAGAGAUCAGGGAUACAAGGCACAUACCUAAACAUAGUAAAGGCAAUAUACAGCAAGCCUACAGCCAACAUCAAACUAAAUGGAGAGAAACUUAAAUCAAUCCCACUGAAAUCAGGGACAAGGCAAGGCUGCCCACUCUCUCCAUAUCUCUACAACAUAGUUCUUGAAGUCCUUGUUGGAGCACUAAACAAAUAAAGACGAUCAAGGGGAAUCAGUUUGGAAAAGAAGUCAAAGUAUCACUAUUUGCAGAUGAUAUGAUAGUAUAUAUGAGUGACCCCAAAACUUCUACCAUGGAACUCCUACAGCUGAUAAACACCUUCAGCAAUGUGGCUGGAUACAAAAUUAACUAAAAAAAUCAGUAGCCCUCCUGUAUACAGAAGACAAAUGGGCUGAGAAAGACAGUAGGGAAACAACACCCUUCACAAUAGCCACAAAAGACAUAAAGUACAUUGGUGUAACUCUGGCCAAGCAAGUCAAAGACUUGUAUGAAAAAAACGUCAAGUCUCUGAAGAAAGAAAUAGAAGUUAUCAGAAGAUGGAAAGAUCUCCCAUGCUCAUGGCUUGGCAGGACUAACAUAGUAAAAAUGGCCAUCUUACCAAAAGCAAUCUACAGAUUCAAUGCAAUUCCCAUCAAAAUACCAACACAAUUCUUUAUAGACCUUGAAAAAAAAUUCUCAACUUCAUAUGGAAUAACAAGAAACCCAGAAUUUCUAAAAACGAUCGUCUACAAUAAAAGAUCUUCUGGAGGUAUCUCCAUCCCUAAUCUCAAGCUGUACUAUAGAGCAACAGUAAUAAAAACUGCAUGUACUGGCAAAACAAACAAACAAACAAACAAAACCCACAAAAACAGACUGGUGGAUCAAUGGAAUUGUAUAGAAGAUCCAGAAAUAAACCCACACACUUAUGGACACCUGAUUUUUGACAAAGAUGCCAAAACCAUACAAUGGAAAAAAAGAUAGCAUCUUCAACAAAUGGUGUUGGUCUAACUAGGUAUCUACAUGUAGAGAAAUGCAAAGAGAUCCAAAAGUAUCACCCUGCACAAAACUAAAGUCCAAGUGGAUCAAAGACCUCAACAUAAAACCAGAAACAUUAAACCUGUUAGAAGAAAAAGUGGGGAAGAUCCUUGAAUUCAUUGGCACAGGAGCCAACUUUCUGAACAGAACACCAAUAGCACAGGCUCUAAGAGUAACAAUCAAUAAAUGGGACCUCACGAAACUGAAAACCUGUAAAGCAAAGGACACUUGUCAGAACAACAUGACAGCCUGUGGAUUGGGAAAGGAUCUUUACCAACCCUACAUAUGAUAGAGGGCUAAUAUCCAGAAUAUAUAAAGAGCUCAAGAAGUUAAACAGCAACAAAUCAAGUAAUCCAAUUAAAAGAUGGGUACAGAGGUAAACAGAGAAUUCUCAAUAGAGUAAUGUCAAAUGGCAGAGAAACACUUAAAGAAAUGCUUAACAUCCUUACUUAUCAGGGAAAUGCAAAUCAAAAUGACUCUGAGAUUUCACCUUACACCCAUCAGAAUGGCUAAGAUCAAGAACUCAAGUGACAACACAUGCUGGAGAGGAUGUGGAGAAAGGGGAACCCUCCUCCAUUGCUGGUGGGAAUGUAAACUGGUACAACCACCAGGAUGUUGGGUCUUAAAGUUAUAGACAGUUGUGAGCUGCCAUAUGGGUGGUGGGAAUUGACCUCGGGUCCUCUGGAAGAACAGUCAGUGCUAUUUACUGCUGAGCCAUUUAUCCAGCCCCUACAACCACUUUGGAAAUCAAUCUGGCGAUGCUUUCUCAGACAAUUAGGAAUAGUGCUACCUCAAGAUCCAGCUAUACCACUCAUAGGCAUAAUCCAAGAUGCUCAAGUAUACAACAAGGAUAUUUGCUCAACCAUGUUCAUAGAAGCUUUAUUCAUAUAGCCAGAAUCUGGAAACAACCCAGAUGUCCCUCAACUGAGGAAUGGAUACCGAAAUUGUAGUACAUUUACACAAUGGAACACUACUCAGCAAUUAAAAGAAGAAAAUCAGGAAAUUUGCAGGCAAGUGGUGGGAACUAGAAAAGAUCAUCCUGAGUGAGAUAUCCCAGAAGCAGAAAGACACACAUGGAAUAUAUUCACUUAGAAGUGGAUGUUAGAUCCUAUAUUAUAUGUACAGCUAAAGUAGCUAAGCAAGAAGGAGGACCCUGGGUAAGAUGCUCAGUCUUCGUUCAGAAAGGCAAAUGAGAUAGGGGUAUUAAAGCAGAUGCUGAGAAGCAUAGCCAAAUUUUGGGCAGAGUGCAGGGAAUGUUAUGAAUGAAGAGGGAGAUAGAAAGAUCUGAAAGUGUCUGGAGCUCCACAAGAAGAACAACAGAACCAAAAAAAAAAUAAUUGUGCUAAGGGGUCUUUUCUGAGACCUGAUACUCCAACCAAGGAGCAUGCAUGGAGAUAACCUAGAACCCCUGCACAGAUGUAGCCCAUGGCAGCUCAGUCUCCAAGUGGGUUCCCUACUUAGGAGAAUAAGGACUGUCUCUGACAUGAACUCAGUGGCUGGCUCUUUGAACACCUCCCCCUGAGGUGAGGGUCACAGAAGAAGACAAUGCAGCCAGUCCUGAUGAGACCUGAUAGGCUAAGGUCAGAUGGAAGGGAAAAAGGACCUCCCUUAUCACUGGACUUGGAGAGGGUCA